rnacentral:lncRNA from 1 species
AUGCAGAUGGAAAUAUGUUAUCAAUCAUUUUCAGCACAGUGUAUGAGUCCCAGAGCACAACAAGAUGAACACAGACAGGCACUGUGGUGGUCAGCAGCUGUAUUACAGCCAGCUCUAUCGUGUAAGAAGAAUGACACCUGUGAUCACCAAAGGGCAGGUUCUGUGCCUAGCUGGGAGGAGGAGGAGGAGGAAGAGAAGAACUCCUUUCUGUGUGAGUUUGGAAGGAGCAACCUGCUGGCUUCCAGGGGUCACAUAGAAGACCUGCAGACUUGGAGAAUGCUGCAUGGGAGCAGGACAAUGAGUUGUUAAGCAACAAGGAGAGGACUGGGGCACAGAGUGGAGACCUUUGCUGAAUGGAAGGAGCAGCUGCUGAAAAGAAAUUCCAGCAGCCUCUUUAGCAGGAACAGGACAUGCAGGAAAGCAGUAGGAGUUGGAUCAGUCUAUCCUCACCUCCUCUGGCAUAGGGAAAGAUCCUUCUCUCCUGUGCUUUGACCAAACUCUGUUAAAUAUCUGUUUUCAGCAAUGAAGAAAAACUAAGAAGCAUAAGAUAUAUCUUUGUUGUUUCUUUAGAGGAAAGAGAGUGAUUUGGCUUUUUAAUGAGUUUAGGCUUUUAUGUUUGAAAAAUUAACUUCUUAUACUCACUUCUAGUAAUUUCAUUGUCUGAAAUUUAAGAAACAAAUAAAAAAAUACAAAAAAUAAAAAGGGAAAAAAAA